CCCUCGGUGUGGCGCAUUGCAAGACUUGACUCGCAGCUUCUAGUUGGGACUCUAUCUACAUGGGGUUAAAGACGAAGCAUGGAUCAAAUUCAAGAAAAAACAAGCAAGGAGGUCGAUAUUUAUCGUGACACAUGGGUCCGCUUCUUAGGCUAUGCCAACGAGGUGGGAGAGGCCUUCCGUGCCCUGGUGCCAGUGAGUGCUGUAUGGGCCACAUAUGCAGUUGCCACCGUGUAUGUUUCCGCUGAUGCUGUGGACAAGGGGAAGAAGGCUGCCGUGGAGCAUGGUGACAACCCAGGGAAGACAACCAAGGUGGCUGUAGCAGUGGUGGAUACGUUUGUAUGGCAGGCCCUGGCCUCGGUCGCUAUCCCAGGCUUCACCAUCAACCGUGUGUGUGCCGCCUCUCUUUACCUCCUGGGCAGAACCACGCGCCUGCCUCUCUCCGUACGCAAGUGGACCACCACGGCCAUCGGCCUCUCCACCAUCCCCUUCAUCAUCCACCCCAUCGACAGGGGAGUGGACUUCCUGCUGGACUCCAGCCUGCGUAAGGUCUACGGUCAAUCUGCAGGAGAGAGGCAUGACUAAUAAGCACCACGACCACCCUGCAACCUGGUCCUAGUGUCCCUGGCCCGGACAGGUUAGCUCCACCAGGAAAUUGACCCCACCCACCCUCUGUCCCAGACAGCACUUCCUCCCAAGCCAUCUGAAAACUCUGCUGAUCACUCUACUGUAACAUCACUGUGAAGCACAAAGCCAAUACAGCAGGGUUACUCCACUCCAGUUCUCCAGGGCCACUGUACUGUCUGCCACUUGUCUAUGCCCCUCUGUUUAUUCCCAUCUUUUCAUUUUAAACUCCAAGUUAGGGGGACCUAUGUUUCUUUGGCCAGUCAAUGACUUAGAAUCAGGGAGAAAAGGGAUCCAAUAGACAGUGUUGCCCUCCAGCACUGGAGUUGAAUACCUGUGGCUGCUACUGGCCUGCAGAGCCCACCUGUUCAUUUUCAGACCUCCACUUGGCAUGUAUCCAGGUAACUCUUGAUGUUAGCCAUAUUUGGGAAUAUUCGGGUCACUGUCCUUAGACCUGGCAUUAAGGCCCUAUUUUCAUUACAUGUUAACAUCUACCUUUGUUUUUGUUUAUUUCUGCCUCAAAAAUAAUGUCUUGUACGGUUGUCUGUCACUUUGAAUAGAUAUUUACAGAGUAUAUUGUGAUGCACUUCAAUGUUCAGUCUUGAGAUUAACCUGAGUGCUUCUUGUCAUUUAUUACAGAGGUGAACUGAAUAGAUGUAAGAAUUCUUGAGGUUUUGGUUGGCUCUAAAGAUUCAGUUACUUUGGUAGCAUCUAAGGCAUAGAAAGUACUGUAAUAGUUGUGUAACAUGCCCUAUGCAGAAUGCAUAUGAAGGGAAUAUGCAUAAAAUACUGUAAUUAUUGCCAAAUAUUUAGGCUACUCUGGAAGAGAACCCAUCAGUAUACAAAGCUGUGCUGCAAUAUGCAAGGAAUCUGAGUCAUCUUAUUCAAAAAUGGGAAAUGCUAUUGGAAUAUGUAAAUCAGGGCGCUCCAAUUCUGUUCCUGGAGAGCUACUGUUGUGUAUGUUUUUGCUCCAACUCUAAUCUAGCACACCUGAUUCUAAUAAUUAGCUGGUUGAUAAGCUGAAUCAACUGGGGUUGGUUUUAAAACAGGUUGGAGAGCCCUGAUGUAAAUUAAUGUGAUAUACUUAAUUGGGAAAUGUUGCCAAUUGUUCAUACACCAGAACAAAUAUUUAGCAAUACUUUUCAUUUAACUUCUCAGUUAUAAGUCAACUUCUGUAUAUUUAAUAUAUUGAUUACUUAAAAAUGUUUUGUCACCAAAAUGCAACAUUUUUGUGAUAUGUUUGAAUUUUUUUUUCUAAUUAUUUCCCCACUUAGUCACAUAAUCAAUUUCAUAUUUCGAUAUCAAUAUAUUUUCAUGCUGGAAACAAGGGAAUGUUUAACUGUUGUUAAUUUCAUAAUAUGUUUGUUUUAGACUUAAAAUUCAAAUAUGUUUUCAAACCUGCUACUGAUGUACAUGUACAUUUUCUUUUAGUUGUCAGAGAAAUUGAAAAAAAUGUUCUUUGACAAAAUGAUAGUAAUUUAUCAUCGAAAGUGAAAGUAAUACUGCAAUGGGCAGCUAUUUAGCUAUCCCCUACUCUGAAACUGUUUAAAAAUAUAUACUGUAGAAAAACAAUAUCCUGUAUUGUAUACAUUUUUUUUUUCCUGUGCAAACAAUUGAACAUAUUCAACAUGUUUUUAAGUUUAUCAGUGAGAAUACGUUUCUUCAUAUGUAUUCAUUUGACACUUGUUUAAAUGAAACAGCAACCCCUCAUAUGCAGCCAAAACACUGUCGCAAAUACCCGUAAUGUACUUGAACCUUCAUAAAUCCAUACCACAGUACAACAUUCCUCAUGCUGUGGUGUCAGAAAAAAAGGAGUAACUAUGGAUGUGUUAUGACACACUCAUUGGCAACAAGUAGCACAGAACUGUCUCAGUAGCGUUCCUCUGGGGAAUAUGAUUGACAACUCUCACAAAGAGAUAUUGUUGUGGAAUUGUGUUCGUGGUUUGACAAUAAGGUCUAACAAGUUGUACAAAUUGAUGUAUUGAUUUUAAACAACAUUGCACAUAUUUUUCUCAAUGCAGCCAGUCACAGCUUUUAUUCCCUGUAGAUUGUACGGCCACAACAUACAUUUACCAAUAAAAUGCCCACAGUGCCACUGUCAAAGCCAAUCACAUCAAUGACCUCAACGAGCCAAGAUUCUAGUUUAAGAAAUUUGUCGUGAUUGAGUAAGUGAUCCACAGCUGACAGCAAUUAUUUUGAUUAGGUGCAUUAGCUCAUAAAAAGUCCAGGUGGUCUGAGUGCUGGCAUAUUGUCAGAAAGAUGUUGUUUAUCCACAGUGUGCUGUUCUUGAUGCUUGUGGCCACAGCUGUGGCCCAAACAGGAGUUCCACGAAUAAGAUACAGGGUAGACCAGUGGACCAUCUCUGUGGAGACUCCACAGAGUUAUGACUCAGAUGAGCUUCAGCCCUAUGACUCAGAUGAGCUUCAGCCCUAUGACUCAGAUGAGCUUCAGCCCUAUGACUCAGAUGAGCUUCAGACUUAUGCCUCAGAUGAGCUUCAGCCCUAUGAGUCGGAUGAGAUCCAACCCAUUGGAUCAGACAAGUCUCUUGGUGCCGAUGAACAAGGUGCGCUGAUUGAGUCUCCAGUCUGGGUUCUGUUUCUGGUGGUCCCUAUGGUGUUAUUGACUGCUAUGGGAGCUCUGGCUGUGGGUUACUACCUGUGUGUGUGGAGGGGAGGCAGACUAGGCUACCGGCCCCGCAGAGACCUCUUGACAAACGUUUAACCAAUUUGCUUUCUGUUUGGUUUGAAAAUAAAUGUUAGUUCCCUGA